CCUACGGGCGGCAGCAGUUAGGAAUAUUGGUCAAUGGGCGCGAGCCUGAACCAGCCAAGUAGCGUGAAGGAUGACUGCCCUACGGGUUGUACACUUCUUUUAUCAAGGAAUAAAGUGAGGCACGUGUGCCUUUUUGUAUGUACUUUAUCAAUAAGGAUCGGCUAACUCCGUGCCAGCAGCCGCGGUAAUCCGGAGGAUCCUAGCGUUAUCCGGAUUUAUUGGGGUUAAAGGGAGCGUAGAUGGGGUGUUAAGUCAGUUGUGAAAGUUUGCGGCUCAACCGUAAAAUUGCAAUUGAUACUGGCAGUCUUGAGUACAGUUGAGGUAGGUGGAAUUCGUGGUGUAGCGGUGAAAUGCUUAGAUAUCACGAAGAACUCCGAUUGCGAAGGCAGCUUACUAAACUGCCACUGACAUUGAUGCUCGAAAGUGUGGGUAUCAAACAGGAAUAGAUACCCCAGUAGUC
rnacentral:rRNA from 1 species